AUUGAACGCUGGCGGCAUGCCUUACACAUGCAAGUCGAACGGUAACAGGUCUUCGGAUGCUGACGAGUGGCGAACGGGUGGGUAAUGCAUCGGAACGUGCCCAGUUGUGGGGGAUAACUGCUCGAAAGAGCAGCUAAUACCGCAUACGACCUGAGGGUGAAAGCGGGGGAUCGCAAGACCUCGCGCAAUUGGAGCGGCCGAUGUCGGAUUAGGUAGUUGGUGGGGUAAAGGCCUACCAAGCCGACGAUCUGUAGUUGGUCUGAGAGGACGACCAGCCACGCUGGGACUGAGACACGGCCCAGACUCCUACGGGAGGCAGCAGUGGGGAAUUUUGGACAAUGGGCGCAAGCCUGAUCCAGCAAUGCCGCGUGCAGGAAGAAGGCCUUCGGGUUGUAAACUGCUUUUGUCAGGGAAGAAAUCCUCUGGGUUAAUACCCCGGGGGGAUGACGGUACCUGAAGAAUAAGCACCGGCUAACUACGUGCCAGCCGCCGCCGUAA
rnacentral:rRNA from 1 species